UCGGGAUCACGCCAUCCAACCAUC
rnacentral:siRNA from 1 species